ensembl:lncRNA
UAAAUUAAGUCAGUUGCCUGUGAUGCGCUCGAGAAGUUUAAUGUUCCUUUCUUUUAACCUUUUGGAUAGUUUUCAGAAAGUCGAAAGAAGCACCUCUUAAUCUAUAGAAUUAUCUGAACCCCUGCAUUCAUUUAUAUAAUAGAGAUAGUCCCCACACUCUGACUUGGUGCCAGGCACUAUGGAACUACAGCAGUGAGUAAAAAUAUCAACAUCUCUGUAGGCAGACAGCUUCUAAUUAUUAUUUUACUGUUGUUACUUAACGUUCAGAAAAACUCAGCCCUUCUUGCAUUUUUUCUAGCUGACCAAUCAGUCUCUGAAGUACUAUCUCAUGUCUAUUUUGAUCUCUAAAUUACCCUGUGAGGUAGUUUGGCAGGAAUUAAUCCCCUCUUCAGAGACCAGGAAAAAUAUAAACUUGCCAAGGUCACACAGAGCUGGGAUUCAAAAACCAGGUCUCUUAACCCUAAGGUCUGCCCUUUCUCCAUGAUACCAUUUUCCCAAUUAGGUACUUUUAUUUUCUGACCUCUAGUUUGCUAGAUGGUCAAAGAUAAGCAGUUCUUUGUGACACUCUAGAUACAGACAAAUUUCUCAGAAAACCGAACAAAUAUUGAGGAAUCAGAACACAGGUUUUUUCAGUCCUGCUCCCCAUGGCAUAUGGAGUUCCCAGGCCAGGGAUCACACCUGAGCCACAGUUGCAGCCUCUGCCACAGCUACAGUCACGCCGGAUCCUUUAACUCACUGUGCUAGCCUGGGAACCAAACCUGCAUCGCAGAGCUCCAGAGACACUCUGAUCCCAUUCCUCCUUUCCUAACCCACCAGAGACAAUAUCUUUCCUACCCCCAAAGCUUAAAGAACAAGAAAGUACAGUGGGAGAAGGGUUUCCGACAACACCACAAAUCACUUGCCGACGUCCCCAGUGGCAUAAACCAUCAUGCUGUAUGAUACAUGGACCUGUGGCCCCUCCUCAUUUUUCAAACCGGGAUGCUGGCAUCCAGUCACUGGAGUGGAAUUGGCCCAGUAAUGUUUUCCAUCUGCUGGCUUGGCACGAGUCAUUACGGGGUGUCACCUGGGUUCUGUCUUAGAGUCUCUAGGGCCAAGGCUAGAGGCACUACAGAAGAACAAUUACCUUAUUCAUCUGUCAGCACUGUUUACUUUAUGUGAACAAAACAAGAUUUUGCUGAAGUAUAUAAAAGAAAUUUACUGGAAAAGAAAAGUCUAGGCAUCCUCUCUCUCCCCCCCCCCCACCCCUGCCCUCACAUCUUCAAAUUCUGAUACAUCUCAAAUGUCACCUUCUCUAAGGAGCUUUUCCCCACACCCUCAACCUCCAUGUGCCCCUGGAGAACUUAUUUCAUAUUGCUUUGUGUCGCCAUUAUUUAUUUGUAUUUCUCUCCCUCCCACUAGACUGUAAACUCUUCAAAGGAGAAUAUGAACUGUAUCUUUUAAAGUUCAUACCACUCAGUAAGUUUCUGUUGAGGGAAUGAUUUGCAAGUAUAGAAAAAAAUGGUAAUUCCUGUUAGUUUUAAACUAAAUCUACAGGAAUAAAAUAUGUUGAAUUUGGCAUUCUGAAAAUGAAUUAAAGCCUUUUUUUUCCCUUUUAUAAAAAGUUAGCAAUAGGAAGUUCAGUGUGAAAACACUUUUAAAACAAUUUUAAAAACAAUGUUAAAAACGACUGAACUUUUUAUUGUGGAAAACCAACAGGAUGUUCAAAACUACUCAAUAUCAUUUAAAAUUGACCUUAUUUAAUGGAAAUGUUCACAUUAUUAGUAUUUCAGAAGUGAUGUAUAUGCUAGUCAUAGGAGAAAUUAUUUCUAAAAGAAUGUAAGACUUUUAAAAAAUUUUUAUUAUAGUUGAUUUGCAGUGUUCUGUCUAUUUCUGAUAUAUAGAAGAGUAACCAGUUAUGCAUAUAUACACAUUCUUUUUCUCAUAUUAUACUCCUUCAUGUUCUAUCACAAGUGAUGGGAUAUAGUUCCCUGUGCUAUACAGCAGGACCUCUUUGCUUAUCCAUUCUAAAUGUUAUAGUUUGUAUCUACUAACCCAAAACUCCCAAUCCAUCUCACUCCCUUUCCCUCUCCCUUGGCAACCACAAGUCUGUUCUCCAUAUCUGUGAGUCUGUUUCUAUCUCUGUAGAUAAGUUCAUUUAUGCCAUGUUUAGAUUCCACAUAUAAGUGAUAUCAUAUGGUAUUUGUCUUUCUCCUUCCGAUUUACAUCACUUAAUAUGAGAAUCUCUACUUCCAUCCAUGUUGCUGCAAAUGGCAUUGUUUUGUUCUUUUUUUGGCUGAGUAGUAUUCCAUUGCGUAUAUGUACCACAUCUUUUUAAUCCAUUCAUCUGUCGAUGGACAUUUAGGUUGUUUCCAUAUCUUGACUAUCUGUGAAUAGUGUUGCAAUGAACGUAGGGGUACAUGUAUCUUUUUCAAUGAAAGUUUUGUCUGGAUAUAUGCCCAGGAGUGGGAUUGCUGGAUUAUGUGGUAGUUCUAUAUUUGAUUUUCUGAGGAACCUCCAUACUGUUUUCCAUAGUGGUUGUACCAAUUCACACUCCUGCCAACAGUGUAGAAGGGUUCCCGUUUCUCCACACCCUCCCCAGCAUUUGCUAUUUGUAGACUUAUUUAUUAAUGAUGACCAUUCUGACUGGUGUGAGGUGGUACCUUAUUGUAGUUUUGAUUUGCACUUAUCUAACAAUUAGUUAUGUUGAGCAUUUUUUCAUGUGCCUAUUGGUCAUCUGUAUGUCUUCUUUGGAGAAAUGUCUUUUUUUUUUUUUUAAUGUAUCACAUUGAUGCUGGUUUAGACAGUUCAGGGAGAGUGAAUGAGGUGGCUACAGGAGUACAGGAGUACUUCUGGAAGGAAGAGCAUCUGAAAAAAAAA